GAUUUGAUUGGCCGAGUUAUUUGCAAUCUAGUAAAGGGCUCAUUUGGCCAGUUUCCCACCCAGCGUAGCAGCCAUUUUUUUAACACCUCCCUCGCGCUCCUGACGGAUUACUACCGAAGCUACGAUUUCUCUGCACCUGGGGCUUCAAGUAUGAUAGUAAUCGAUAACUGACAGUUGGAUAUCGAUUGCGAACGUUUUCGCGAUGCAUAAUUUAAUUUCGUCUGCAGUUGACGUUUGGGACCGUGCGAACACAGUAAACACCGAAAUGCAUUGGGAACUUAUUGAGGAAACAUCAAAAGGCAUUUUGUACAGGGAAACGCUGAACGACUAUUUUAUAGACGAGAAAGAUGAAAGAAGUCCUGUUGAAAUCAGUGCCGUAAUUCACCACCAUAUGGCUAUUAUGCGUUCAGCUUUGGAAGUUGAUGCUGAACUACAGAGGAUGGAGGAUUUGGAAAUGAAUUCGCCAGAAUACAUCAACAGCGACAGUGGCCGUUGGGCUGUGACAACUAAGAAGAACACAUUUUAAAUGAAUUCGGCAGAUGAAAUCAACGGAAGCAGUGGCUGUUGGGCUAUGACAACUAACAAGAACACAUUUUAAAUGAAUUCGGCAGGUAAAUAUUAUUGUUGAGACUUCUAUUCAUCCACGUCUAACCAUUAGCUUUUUAGAAUUUUUGAGAAAAAGCUUUUUUAUUUUUGAAA